UUAGGCAACUAGCUGUCGUGUCUUGCGCGGCGAAAAGGACUCCGAUGAUGUUGUCCGCAAUCUGUUCUUGGGUUAGCAUACGACCUUCAUCGUCCUUAAAGUCGAGUAGAUGACCAAGAAAAGAUGAGAUCAUACCAUGAGAGCUUUGUGGUAAGAUGUUCCGGGGAGAUUCAUGGGGAAAGAGUUGUAGCCUUUGUCGACAAUAUUGUAGUUAUGUUUCAACAUAUCCCUGUAAGAACACUCCAAAUGGCCAAAUAUGGCUACAAUACCCACAUCAAAAGCGAACUGCAAGAAAAAGAAAGCAAGUGAAGAAAAUGCAUUGUGUAUUUAUUUUUUUAUUGGUAUACAUAUGAACAUAUAUAUAUAUAUAUAUACACAUACCUUCUUCAUUUCUUGGUAUGUAGAGACAAUAGGCAUAUUGGCCAAAGAUUGUAAAGAAGAUAGGGCAAUGUGUUCGAUAUCAGGGAUAAGUUUCCGGAUGGUUUCAGGGUAUAAAGAGGAUUGAA